AACCAUAGAACUGUGGUCCCACCUGAUCCCAUUCCGAACUCAGAAGUGAAACACAGUAUCGCCGAUGGUAGUGUGGGGUUUCCCCAUGUGAGAGUAGGUCAU
rnacentral:rRNA from 1 species